CCCUCGCGCACAGGCUCUUGGGAGAGCGUCACCCAGGCUAUAAAAGCGUGCGCGCACCGUUCUGAAGUCUCUUUGGCUGCGAUCCGGACGUGAGUACGUAGUUAUGUGGUGGGGAUAUCUUGGGCCUUAUUUGUGAGUGGCCGAGAUGCGGGAGACACACGGCGGCUAUGGUGCUGGCCGUAAGUCAUCAACUCUGCAAGAGCGCCGUGAAGGUUAGCGCGAUGGCCACCAUGUAAAGCCGGUUACGGUGUUGGGCGGCGUGACGCAAGUUCGCCACCGCUGGGUCAGAUGGAAACGCCGGAACCCGUUGCUGUUGAACAGUGGAGGAAGUGUUGAGGUACUGUAGUGGUUGAGAUCGUCUCUGGUCACCUUACAGCGAAUCUUCGCUUUUAAUUUUUGAAAAUUGAAGAUUUUAUAUUAAAGGUGUUUGGUGUAUAAUAA
ensembl:processed_transcript Snhg8 small nucleolar RNA host gene 8